rnacentral:tRNA from 1 species
GCCCCUGUAGCUCAGCUGGAUAGAGCAGCGGACUUCUAAUCCGCAGGCCGGUGGUUCGAGUCCACCCGGGGGCG